UCUUGUAACAAAAAGAGACAAUAGAAAUAAUUGUAGAGACCAAAUAUCAUUCACGCCUACCGAUAGCUGGGUGCCCCCAAAAGGCAUAUAAGUGCCUCCCUCCAAAAAAGGAGGGAAUAGUUUUCUUGGGACUAGCUAAGAAAACAAAGCGCAAUGAGAAACUCUAAAACUUAAAAGAUAAAAUAAGCCUAAAAACAGCUACAGUAAAAAAACCAGUAAAAAGGUAAACAAAUAUCUAAAGAAUAAUUAUAGAUAACUCAUGCGAAUAAUAGGGAGCAUUUAAGUUAAACACUAAAACUUAAAUAAAAAUGAUAGCAUAAGUAUAAAAAAAAUAAAAAAUUUAUUUAAAAAAUAAAAUUAAUAAAGGAACUCGGCAAAAGAAUAGAGCACAGACUGUUUAACAAAAACAUAGCUUCUAGAACUAAUUAGAAGUACCAUCCUGCCCAGUGAAAGAAAUUUUAAACGGCCACACUUGUGCUAAGGUAGCGUAAUCAGUUGUCCUUUUACUGAGGACUAGUAUGAAAGGAAAAACGAGGCUCGACUGUCUCUAUUAAUAAAAUAAGAAAUUAGUUUUCAGGUGAAAAAACCUGAAUAAAAUUAAAGGACGAAAAGACCCUAUAGAGUUUUAAUAUAGUAUGUUAUUAUGUUACACAGAAUAAUAAAACAUACAUACUUUAAUUGGGGCAACACAGGAACAAAAAAUUUCCUAUAUAAAACAUUUAAGAUAUUAAAAGUAAAAAUCCUCAAAGAGAAAAAGAAAAACUAC
rnacentral:rRNA from 1 species